rnacentral:rRNA from 1 species
AGAGUUUGAUCCUGGCUCAGGAUGAACGCUGGCGGCAUGCCUAAUACAUGCAAGUCGAACGAAGUUUCGAGGAAGCUUGCUUCCAAAGAGACUUAGUGGCGAACGGGUGAGUAACACGUAGGUAACCUGCCCAUGUGUCCGGGAUAACUGCUGGAAACGGUAGCUAAAACCGGAUAGGUAUACAGAGCGCAUGCUCAGUAUAUUAAAGCGCCCAUCAAGGCGUGAACAUGGAUGGACCUGCGGCGCAUUAGCUAGUUGGUGAGGUAACGGCCCACCAAGGCAAUGAUGCGUAGCCGGCCUGAGAGGGUAAACGGCCACAUUGGGACUGAGACACGGCCCAAACUCCUACGGGAGGCAGCAGUAGGGAAUUUUCGUCAAUGGGGGAAACCCUGAACGAGCAAUGCCGCGUGAGUGAAGAAGGUCUUCGGAUCGUAAAGCUCUGUUGUAAGUGAAGAACGGCUCAUAGAGGAAAUGCUAUGGGAGUGACGGUAGCUUACCAGAAAGCCACGGCUAACUACGUGCCAGCAGCCGCGGUAAUACGUAGGUGGCAAGCGUUAUCCGGAAUCAUUGGGCGUAAAGGGUGCGUAGGUGGCGUACUAAGUCUGUAGUAAAAGGCAAUGGCUCAACCAUUGUAAGCUAUGGAAACUGGUAUGCUGGAGUGCAGAAGAGGGCGAUGGAAUUCCAUGUGUAGCGGUAAAAUGCGUAGAUAUAUGGAGGAACACCAGUGGCGAAGGCGGUCGCCUGGUCUGUAACUGACACUGAGGCACGAAAGCGUGGGGAGCAAAUAGGAUUAGAUACCCUAGUAGUCCACGCCGUAAACGAUGAGAACUAAGUGUUGGAGGAAUUCAGUGCUGCAGUUAACGCAAUAAGUUCUCCGCCUGGGGAGUAUGCACGCAAGUGUGAAACUCAAAGGAAUUGACGGGGGCCCGCACAAGCGGUGGAGUAUGUGGUUUAAUUCGAAGCAACGCGAAGAACCUUACCAGGGCUUGACAUCCCACUAACGAGGCAGAGAUGCGUUAGGUGCCCUUCGGGGAAAGUGGAGACAGGUGGUGCAUGGUUGUCGUCAGCUCGUGUCGUGAGAUGUUGGGUUAAGUCCCGCAACGAGCGCAACCCUUGUCGCAUGUUACCAGCAUCAAGUUGGGGACUCAUGCGAGACUGCCGGUGACAAACCGGAGGAAGGUGGGGAUGACGUCAAAUCAUCAUGCCCCUUAUGGCCUGGGCUACACACGUACUACAAUGGCGACCACAAAGAGCAGCGACUUGGUGACAAGAAGCGAAUCUCAUAAAGGUCGUCUCAGUUCGGAUUGAAGUCUGCAACUCGACUUCAUGAAGUCGGAAUCGCUAGUAAUCGCAGAUCAGCAUGCUGCGGUGAAUACGUUCUCGGGCCUUGUACACACCGCCCGUCAAACCAUGGGAGUCAGUAAUACCCGAAGCCGGUGGCAUAACCGUAAGGAGUGAGCCGUCGAAGGUAGGACCGAUGACUGGGGUUAAGUCGUAACAAGGUAUCCCUACGGGAACGUGGGGAUG